UGCUUUUCGCGGCCUAACGCUUUUUUGCAAGCUGUGCAUGGUGGAACGAUAGUCAUACUGUCUUUGCUUUUUGCUUCUGGACAAGUGGGUAAACAUUUCUAAAAGCUGAACUUUAUGGAAUUACCAUAUCAUCCAAUAAUCUGGAGUGGCUCUGAAAUGAUCAAGCCUAAUUAUGUAUCCUGGCAAAUCUUGUGAUAUCCCAGAGAGGAAACAUCUGCUAAAAAUCUGGCAAAGGAAAAAUAGGCAUUUUCAGUGUGAAGUGGCCGUACUUCAGGGGAAUAACAUAUAACAUGAAGAUAGAAACUAGUAAUGCUCAUCAGCACUCCCAGCGGCAUACUAAAGCAUGGGGAGACAAUAUUGAACUGGACACCUGGGCAUGUCACAUUAAUGCCACUUAGACAUACCAAAUAUAUUUUUAGCUUUAUGUGAAUCAGUCUGUUGUGCACACUGACUGUCCAAGUGAUUUAAAACUGAGAUGCCAAACUGCAAGAUGGCAACUAAGGAAUAACAGCGAAAAGUAGAAGGUGAAAACCGUAAAUUUAAAGCCAAAUGGGAAGAAAAAUAUGCUUUAAGCAAAAAUCUAUGGGUCUUCCAACAUGUCUGAUUUGCAGUGAAAAGUUAUCCAAAGACAAAUCAAAUUUCGAAAGUCACUUUUUAACAAAGCGUGAGACAUUUGCAAAAAAAUAUUUGUUUGGAGAAGAAAGGAAAAAAGCAAUAACAAAAUUAAAGCAAAAAAUGCAACAGUCAACGUUGAUAUUCAGCAGCUGUAUACAAUCUUCAAGUAAUGUGACUGCAGCAAGUUUUACUGUUUCUGGUGAGACUGCAAAGCAUGGAAAACCUUUCACAGAUGGAGAAUAUGUAAAAAAAAAAAAAAAAAAAGUGUUUUUAAAAUUAUAAUUAAAAAAAAAAAUUAAAGAAACUCCACUAUCUGCAAACACUGUUCACGACAGCAUCAGUAAGAUAGGCAAGAAUGUGACAGAUCAUCAAAUUAAUGAUAUAAACUCGGCAUCUGUAUUGUCUUUGGCAUGUGGCAAGUCAUGCGACAUGAAAGAAAUCGCAUAAAUUAGCCUACUGGGAUGCUAUGUUUCUGAUAAAGAAUUACUGGCUUUGAUACCUCUGGACAAACUCAAGGUGAAGAUAUCUCUGCAGCGAUUUUGGAAUUUUUGACUGUUUGGGAAAUUGACAUCAAUAAACUGUUAUCUAUCGUUACAGUUACCCAGUAUGACGGGUAAAAAUAAAGGGUUUGCUACCCUCCUCAAACAAAUGCGGAGCACAAUGCUUUUACGUCUCAUUGUGUUAUUUAUCAAGAAGCAUUAAUCGCACAGACAUUUCCCUUCAAAGUUGUAAAGGUGAUGAAUUUACUACUAAAAAUAAUUAACCAAAUAAUUGCAAAAUGACUUAAUCACUGUUAGUUUUGUGCCCUUCUCAAAGAAGUAAACAGUCAGUAUUUGCACAAUAAAGUUUGUUGAUUAUCCAGAGGAGCAGUUAUGAAAAGUUUCACUUCUUGCAUUGAAUAUCUUAAACCCUUUAAGUCAAAAGGAACACGAAUAUCCAGAAUUAAGUGAUGAAGAAUGGUUACAUAAAUGUUACUUUGCUGUUCAUAUGAUGACACAUUUAAACCACCUGAAUCAGAACCUACAAGGUAGAGGUAACACUGCAAAUACACUUCUGGAAACAAUCAUUUCUUUUGAACAACAACUACUUUUGUUUUCAGAAGACUUGAUUCAUUUGCAUGAUUCAUUUACUGGUUGCUUCAGAGAUUUCAUUGAUGAGAAUACCACUCUUUUGAUUUUGACAAAACCACUUGUGACGAAUGUCAAUUGAAUACAUUUUUCGUGGUUUCCAACAGUUUGACAGGGCUCAGUUUGAACUACGACUAACAGAUUUGAAAAGCAAAGAUUUGUGGUCUUCAAAAUUUACAUCUCAACAAGUGGAAAUAAAAAACCUGGAAAGAGAAAAGGUGACUUUAGCCAUGAAUCACAAAUGGAAGUAACUUUACAACUGUCAAAAAAAUGACCAUCUGAUUUUUGAAAUGUGGAACAGCUUUCCAGACUAUUAUUGCCAACUCAAAAUAAUAGUGUUUGGAAUUUUGACAAUUUUUGGGUCCACUUAUUAUUGUGAGCAGACGUUCUCCAACAUGAAUGAUAUCAAAGGCAAACUAAGAAGACUGGCUAAUGAUAAAAGCUUAGAAUUUGUUUACAAUAACAGACUUACAACUACUCACUGAACAUGAAACAACUCGGUGUGGAAAUGCAGUGUCAAAAGUCUCAUUAAAUUGUUUUUCUUUAUUUUCUGUAUUU